GACGGAGGGUGCUAGCGUUGUUCGGAUUUACUGGGCGUAAAGGGCGCGUAGGCGGCCUUGUAAGUCGGAUGUGAAAGCCCGGGGCUCAACCCCGGAACGGCAUUCGAGACUGCCAGGCUGGAGAUCGGAAGAGGAGAGUGGAAUACCCAGUGUAGAGGUGAAAUUCGUAGAUAUUGGGUGGAACACCGGUGGCGAAAGCGGCUCUCUGGUCCGUAUCUGACGCUGAGGCGCGAAAGCGUGGGGAGCAAACAGG
rnacentral:rRNA from 1 species